UAAGACAUGCAAGUCGAACGAACUUAACUCAUUCUUUACGAUUGAGAGCCGUUAGUGACUGACUGGUGAGUAACACGUAAGCAACCUGCCUAUUAGAGGGGAAUAACAGUGAGAAAUCAUUGCUAAUACCGCAUAUGCUCACAGUACCACAUGGUACAGUGAGGAAAGGAGCAAUCCGCUAAUAGAUGGGCUUGCGUCUGAUUAGCUAGUUGGUGGGGUAAUGGCCUACCAAGGCGACGAUCAGUAGCCGGACUGGGAGGUUGAACGGCCACAUUGGGACUGAGAUACGGCCCAGACUCCUACGGGAGGCAGCAGUCGGGAAUAUUGCGCAAUGGAGGAAACUCUGACGCAGUGACGCCGCGUAUAGGAAGAAGGUUUUCGGAUUGUAAACUAUUGUCGUUAGGGAAGAUACAAGACAGUACCUAAGGAGGAAGCCCCGGCUAACUAUGUGCCAGCAGCCGCGGUAAUACAUAGGGGGCAAGCGUUAUCCGGAAUUAUUGGGUGUAAAGGGUGCGUAGACGGAGAUGCAAGUUGGUUGUGAAAUCCCUCGGCUCAACUGAGGAACUGCAACCAAAACUACAUCCCUUGAGUGUCGGAGGGGAAAGUGGAAUUCCUAGUGUAGCGGUGAAAUGCGUAGAUAUUAGGAGGAACACCGGUGGCGAAGGCGACUUUCUGGACGAUAACUGACGUUGAGGCACGAAAGUGUGGGGAGCAAACAGGAUUAGAUACCCUGGUAGUCCACACUGUAAACGAUGGAUACUAGGUGUAGGGUGUAUUAAGCACUCUGUGCCGCCGCAAACGCAUUAAGUAUCCCACCUGGGGAGUACGACCGCAAGGUUGAAACUCAAAGGAAUUGACGGGGGCCCGCACAAGCAGUGGAGUAUGUGGUUUAAUUCGAAGCAACGCGAAGAACCUUACCAGGGCUUGACAUAUACAGGAAUAACUUAGAGAUAGGUUAGCUCUUCGGAGCCUGUAUACAGGUGGUGCAUGGUUGUCGUCAGCUCGUGUCGUGAGAUGUUGGGUUAAGUCCCGCAACGAGCGCAACCCCUAUCGUUAGUUGCUAGCAGGUAAUGCUGAGAACUCUAGCGAGACUGCCGGUGAUAAAUCGGAGGAAGGUGGGGAUGACGUCAAAUCAUCAUGCCCUUUAUGUCCUGGGCUACACACGUACUACAAUGGCCGUAACAGAGGGAAGCAAUAUAGUGAUAUGGAGCAAAACCCUAAAAGCGGUCUCAGUUCGGAUUGAAGGCUGAAAUUCGCCUUCAUGAAGCUGGAAUUGCUAGUAAUGGCAGGUCAGCAUACUGCCGUGAAUACGUUCCNCGGGCCCUUGUACACACCGCCCGUC
rnacentral:rRNA from 1 species